rnacentral:rRNA from 1 species
UACGGAGGGAGCUAGCGUUGUUCGGAAUUACUGGGCGUAAAGCGCGCGUAGGCGGCUUUGUAAGUUAGAGGUGAAAGCCCGGAGCUCAACUCCGGAAUUGCCUUUAAGACUGCAUCGCUAGAAUUGUGGAGAGGUAAGUGGAAUUCCGAGUGUAGAGGUGAAAUUCGUAGAUAUUCGGAAGAACACCAGUGGCGAAGGCGACUUACUGGACACAUAUUGACGCUGAGGUGCGAAAGCGUGGGGAGCAAACAGG